rnacentral:rRNA from 1 species
UGGGGAAUAUUGGACAAUGGGGGGAACCCUGAUCCAGCCAUGCCGCGUGUGUGAAGAAGGCCUUAUGGUUGUAAAGCACUUUAAGCGAGGAGGAGGGUACUGGUAUUAAUACUACCAGCUACUGGACGUUACUCGCAGAAUAAGCACCGGCUAACUCUGUGCCAGCAGCCGCGGUAAUACAGAGGGUGCGAGCGUUAAUCGGAUUUACUGGGCGUAAAGCGUGCGUAGGCGGCUAAUUGAGUCGGAUGUGAAAUCCCCGAGCUUAACUUGGGAAUUGCAUUCGAUACUGGUUAGCUAGAGUGUGGGAGAGGAUGGUAGAAUUCCAGGUGUAGCCGUGAAAUGCGUAGAGAUCUGGAGGAAUACCGAUGGCGAAGGCAGCCAUCUGGCCUAACACUGACGCUGAGGUACGAAAGCAUGGGGAGCAAACAGG